GCCGCGGCCCGUCGGUCCGGGCGGGUUCCGCCGCCCAGGCGGCGGCCUCCGCCCCUAGCGGGCUGCCGGCCGCGGGGCGUGCUGGUCGGUCCCCGGCGGGGGUCGGCGGAUGGGGCCUGUCCCCUCUAGGUCCGCCUGCCUCGGGUGUCCGAUGCGGAAAGCAAGCUGGUGAUUGUGUUCCGGCGAGCCCUGUCCCCGUGUGUCCGUCCCAUCCCGCUCCCCCCGCUCCCGCCCGCUUUGGGGAGCCGCGGUGUCGGUACGUGGCGCUGUGACCCGGCAGCGUGGCGCCGGGGUGGGGGGGGGGGAGCCGAGGGGGGCACGGGCGAACGGCCCACGGGUGAAACGGAGCCUUAAAAUGAUAACACGCCGCAUGGGUGCUACAGAGGGGUGUGCGCGUUUUCUGUGUCGUGCUCUCCCAGCCCAUACUCGAGUUUUCUCCUUUACUGUUGCUGUGCUGUGAAGGAAGCAUGUUUGUCCUUAAAACUCGCCCAUGACGUACGCAGCCUGCCUUACGGUAAUUUCGUACGCGGUGCUGUAGGGUAAGGCUCUGCCAGGGCUCUGCGGGUUUCAGUGUUCCCGGUGCCCUGGAAACCGGGCUGUAUCGCGCCGGCUGAUACCAGAUGUAUGCUGCAGCCGUCCUCGCUAAUAAAAUGGUAUAGACCAGUAACUCAUUUUUGCAGGACACUGUGCUGGCAGUUCCAAUCGGGUGGAACCGGUAGCAGGAGUUGGCUGCAGUGUGUUACAUCACCCCUUUCCGUCUGAAGAAGCUGCUCGACGUGUAAAGCAUUGCAACCUCUUUCCAUUAGAAGGGGAGGCAAACUGUGGAAUUGUAAUUUUUUUUUUUUUUUAAUGCAAGCCUGUCGAUUUUGUAUUGUUUUGUAUUACUAUGUGCAAAGCCUUUUUGUCCUGACCACUCUCAGGAUCAAGCAGCAGGAGAGGAUUUCCCUGCUGACUGCUCCAAGCAUCCAGGUAUCCUUACACAGCACAAGGCUGAGAGGACGACUGCUUUGCAUCGCUGGGGUGCUGGCAGUUAUUUUGGUCCUUGUGAGACAGCUGAACAUCCAGUCCUUCCUCCUUCCCCUCCAAAAAACCCGAUGCCAGCUUCUAAGCCAAACCAUGGAAAUGUCCUCAGAGCCUGAUGGGCUCUCUGAGCAAUGCCUGGAGCCAGGCAGGGUGUGCUGCCCUGCCAGAAACAUGCCGUCCCACCAGCUGCUCAACAUCUCACCCACUGCUGAGGCACCCCAGACAUAUGAGCCCCAAAUGAGCCAGAGAAGAGACUGAACCUCCAAAACUACCUAUGAAUUCUUUGCUUGAAGUUAUCCAGAAGAGAUGAAACUCUGCUGUCAGUCGGCAUUUUACUGUAAUACUGAGGUCCAGUAAGGGGACAGGCGCCCAGGAGACGUGGCUUUAUUUCUGGCUCUGCCAUUCAAAUUCUGCGUGGCCUUGGGCAAGUCCUUUCCCUUGUCCCUGCCUUCCCUUGUCCACACACCCCUCUUUUGAACUGCGCAAUGGCAGUAGAGAUGACUUAUUGCAGUGCCAUGGCCGGUUGGAUCCACAGAAGUAAAUAAACAAUGAAGGCAAAAUGGUGUAAUUUAAAAAAAAAAAAUUCUGCUUGGCAAGAUCUUGUGUAAACUAGACAAGGAGAAAAAUGUGGUAUGUUGAGUUUCUCUAAUUCUAGUCUCUGCUUACUUUUCAUGGAAAGGGGAGUCUCACUAGCUGGGGAACACAAACAAUAGUAGUUGGCGAGUCCCAACCUACCAAUGCAACUACAGGAUUAAUUAGGAAUGGUCUGAAACCCAAGCAGGGAGUAAAAAAUAAACCCAGCUUAUCUUUUCACUUGCUUUAGACAGUAAGAGUAGUCUGUGGACCAGACAGUCAUCCGGAGAUGUCCUGGAGCAGAAAGCAGUUUCCUUUCGGGUCUGCUUGGUUUUGACAUCCAGACUGGGGAAGCGCUCAGCUAUUUGUAAGUGUAGAAGCAAGUCUCUGUGAAACACUGACAUUUUAGGGUAGGCUGAGUGUCUGCAAUGAAAUCCCUGAUGCAGUGCAGUUGGUGGGUGGCGUCAGACAAAUUUUAAUGGGCUUUGUAGUAGGGCCCAAACAUAUCCCAAAGAACAGGAGAAGUAAGCUUUGGUUUAGCCAAAUAUCUAAGCAUGUACUUAACCAUUGAAAAUAAUGAGAAUUAAGCAUAUACUUGAGUCAUCUGCUGACCUGUAUCUUAACUACUGAGUAACAAAUACUGACCUGCAGAGACUCUGCAUAAAACAGGGAUAUGCCUUUUAUAUGCCCAAGAGGGACACACCAUUUAAAAUAGCAGAUUUCUUUGAUUUUCUAGUGACAUAGCAAAAGCAGAAUUUGGCCCUGUGCUCCUUGGAAGAAGGAAAUUUUAAAUUAUUAUCAACUGCAGCUUCCCACUGCAACAUUUUGCAUCAUGCAGGUUAAUGGCUGGCUGCUAGAAAAGAGGACUUCUCUGUUUCUGUCUAACAGGAUUUUUGGCAUCCUGCUCAUUAGAAGGGUUAUUUUCUUUAACCAUAUUGCUGUAGGAAUGCAUUUUUUAAGAUUCCUGCUGCAUUGACACAACCUUCAUAUCUUUUCAGCUUAUAGUUUCUGGAAUUCUUUUUCUCCCGAUAAGAAGUGAUGUUGCUGGGUGUGCUUUUUCUAACAAGCCUUGAUGGAAGAUCAAGGAAGAAAAGCUAAUAUAUCCGAUGGCUUGAUAAUUUCAGGGUCAAACCAGAUUUUAAGUGGUGGUUUUCUUGCACUUGCUGAUGAAUCUGUUUGAUCAAGCAGCUGGUGUGUGAGAUCUAGACGGCAGCACAUAGAACACAUUAGGAAAACAGAGAGAAUGUGAGAUUAAACUGAAAAGAGGGAAGAACAGCAUUUCCUCACCGUUCUACAUGAAGGCAGAAGAUGCUCCGAGAGGAUACAAACUCAGUUUUCUUAUUGGACCUAUGGCCUCUUCCCCCCAUCAGAUUAUUCAAAGGUAAAUUUGCUUUUCACUAUCUUAGACAGACCAUUUCCCCCUCACUGGUAUACUUACUUAUUAGUAACGUUAUUUGUAAAAUGCUAACUUCAUUGCCUGCACUGUUACGAUGUUAUCUCUAUGUGCUUCUGUGAGAAUGUAACAAUGUCAUGAAGAAAAAUGAUGUAAAAAUGAUGUGGGUACAUAAAAUGGGAUUGACAAAAUGUAAUAAAUCACUGCUGGGCUGAA